rnacentral:rRNA from 1 species
GACGAACGCUGGCGGCGUGCUUAACACAUGCAAGUCGAGCGGUAAGGCCCUUUCGGGGGUACACGAGCGGCGAACGGGUGAGUAACACGUGGGUGACCUGCCCUCAGCUCUGGGAUAAGCCCGGGAAACUGGGUCUAAUACCGGAUAUGACUUCAUGACGCAUGUUGUGGAGUGCAAAGCCUUGUGCGGCUGAGGAUGGGCCCGCGGCCUAUCAGCUUGUUGGUGGGGGACGGCCUACCAAGGCGACGACGGGUAGCCGGCCUGAGAGGGCGACCGGCCACACUGGGACUGAGAUACGGCCCAGACUCCUACGGGAGGCAGCAGUGGGGAAUCUUGCGCAAUGGGCGAAAGCCUGACGCAGCGACGCCGCGUGAGGGAUGACGGCCU